AUCGAACGCUGGCGGCAGGCCUAACACAUGCAAGUCGAACGAGUAGCGGACUGGCGAGUAAUGGCGUGGCAAGUGCGCGAUGGACGGGGCUAACUACUGGAAACAGUAGCUAAAACUGCAUACCAUCCGUUGUGGCCAAAUGGGAGUAGCUAGUAGGUGGGGUAACGGCUCACCUAGGCGACGCGCCCUAGCUGGUCUGCGAGGAUGACCAGCCACACUGGAACUGAGACACGGUCCAGACUCCUACGGGAGGCAGCAGUGGGGAAUAUUGCACAAUGGGCGCAAGCCUGAUGCAGCCAUGCCGCGUGUAUGAAGAAGGCCUUCGGGUUGUAAAGUACUUUCGGCGGGGAGGCGUUACUCGAAGAGGAAGCACCGGCUAACUCCGUGCCAGCAGCCGCGGUAAUUC
rnacentral:rRNA from 1 species